rnacentral:ncRNA from 2 species
CUCUGGAAAGCGGGCAGGCCUAGGCCGAGCCCCACCGAAGGAGCAACCGGCGCUCAGCCGGGAAAUCUCUCAGGUGAUGAGGACAGAG